AAACAAUCAAAUUGUUGAAUAUUUUGAAAAAAAAUUAUUUUUACUGUCAGUUUGGUUUUAGAUUUAAGAAAGGUACUAGUCUAGCCAUUUCUGAAUAUUUUAAGAGCUGUAUUUAUAGUCUGGACAGCAAGAAUAAAGUAAUUGGUGCCUUUUAUGACAUGUCAAAAGCAUUUGACACAAUCUCACAUGACAAACUGCUAUAUAAACUUAAAUUUUAUGGUUUUGCUAGUUUGGCAGUUAAGUUUGUAGGGUCUUACUUGUCUGAAAGGCUACAAGCAGUUUAUUAUGAAGGCCACUUUUCACAAUACUUAAAUGUAAGAACUGGUAUCCCACAGGGCUCAAUCCUGGGCCCAGUAUUUUUUAUUACUUACAUAAAUCAUUACCAGGUACUAUUGCUACUAAUCAUGCGAGCUCUUAUAUGUUUGCUGUUGACCUGGCUGUACAAGUUAAAUGUAAUGAUAUUUUAUUUGCUAAAGACUAUGUUAAAUUCUUAGGAGUUAUUCUUCAGACUAACAUCAAAUGGGAUAGGCACGUUGAAAUGUUAUGCAAUAAAAUGUCUAAGGGUAUUUUUAUAUUAAUUAGGCUAAGAUAUAUUGUAACUAUAAACAUCCUCAUUACUGUCUACUAUGCCUACCUUCAUAGUUUCUUAUCUUAUGGAAUUAUUGUAUGGGACAAUGAUUGUAACACAAAAAAAAAAUGAUUUAUUUUACAAAAACGUGCUAUUAAGAUUAUAGCUAAUGUAAACAUAAGGACUCACUGUAAACCUUUAUUUUAAAAGUAUGGUAUUCUUCCAGUACCUGCUCUUUAUAUUUUAGAUUGCCUAUUGUAUACAAAACAAAAUUUACAUGCCAUACCUACAAAUAGAUCUGUACAUAACCAUAUGACUAGAAACUCAAAUUCUCUUAGAAUAUCUCAAUGUAGUCUUAAAACCACUUUAAAUUGUUUUGUUGAAACAGGCAUUAAACUCUACAACUCUCUUCCUUCUCAUCUUAAAUCUCUUGAAAUUAAUUCUUUCAAGAAAAGUGUAAAAAAGUUAUUGAUUCAUAUAAUACCAUAUGAUAUAUUAUGCUGGAAUGUGAUAGACACUUGUUACUAGGCCUAGGCAGUGUAUAUCAUAGAUGAUAGUUCAUGCUUAAUUUGUUUCUGACACUGUUAUACAUUGUAAAGAUGUUCUGGCAAUAAAGAAUUUGAAUUUGAAUUUUAGGUACGCGACAUAGUUGUCUUAUGGAAAUCGAUAUAUCAUAUGGAAUUACAAGAACAAGUGUCUCUUUGCCUCUUUACUUGCAUUUGUGAAGAUGUUCCCUGAGGAAGAGGUGGUGCUUCUUCUCAUGUUUAGUAGAAAACAGUGUAAAAGAUAAAGGAAAUUUCCGUGGUCAAGAAUUUGAGCAUGGAACCUCUGGUAGAGAGGUUAGUGGAAGCCAACUCGAAGGAGACAAAACGGAUUAGAAAAAUGAUCUUCAAAACAUUUCCAACGGUUCAGAUAAGAAAGGUGGACAGGGUAGAGAACAGCUUUCUGAAAGCUAUGUACUUGUUAAAGAAGGACGAGUACUUGUCCCGCUAUGAAACAGUGGAGGAAAAGGAACUCUUUCAUGUCACUGGUGUUGACAAUGUAAAAUCCAUCACCAAUAACAAUUUUGACUGGCGGAGAGUAUCAAGGGGAUUGUUUGGAAAAGGGACUAGCUUUUCAGGUGAUGCAGAAUAUGCUAAUUGCCAUGCCAACCAUAAUAUUGGAAGUUGUCGAGCAAUUAUUAUUACUAAGGUGUUGGUGUCAAAACAAAUCGGAGGACGCAAGAAUCUUAAAAUUCCUCAGAACAACUAUGAUACUACAACUGGCAAUGGCAAAGUCUAUGUCAAGUUUUGUGACAAUGAAACUCUUCCUACAUACGUGGCAUACUACAAAAUUGGAGGAUUUACAGCUAAAUAUAAAAACACUCAUGCAGUAUUUGACUAUAAUGUUGACGAUGAUUAUUAUAAUGGCUUUGAUUACGAUGAUUAUUACUAUUAAGAUGCUAAUUUUUAUGAUUAUGCCAAAAAUAUUCUACACUUCAUGGAUGUGGUCAUAUAAUUUUUAUCAUUAAGGCAGCAUUAAUGUAAGAAUAAUCUAAACACAUGUGGUUUUGAAUUUUGAGCUUGCUUUUUAUUACAUGAAUAAAGUAUAAA